rnacentral:misc_RNA from 1 species
GGAAGUAAAAGUCGUAAUAAGGUCUCCGUUGGUGAACCAGCGGAGGGAUCAUUACCGAGUUAUCAACUCCCAAACCCCUGUGAACAUACCCAACGUUGCUUCGGCGGGACCGCCCCGGCGCCCUCGGCGUCCCGGAACCAGGCGCCCGCCGGAGGACCCAAACUCUUGUUUAUACCAUAGUGGCAUAUUCUGAGUCUCACAAGAAAAAUGAAUCAAAACUUUCAACAACGGAUCUCUUGGCUCUG